rnacentral:rRNA from 1 species
AACGAACGCUGGCGGCGUGCCUAACACAUGCAAGUCGAACGAGGAUGGGGAGCUUGCUUCCUACUCUAGUGGCGCACGGGUGAGUAACGCGUAGAUAAUCUGCCUGAUGAUCUGGGAUAACACUUCGAAAGAGGUGCUAAUACCGGAUAAGCCCACGGAGUCUUUGGACUUUGCGGGAAAAGGGGGGGGCCUUAUGGCCUUCUGUCAUCAGAUGAGUCUGCGUACCAUUAGCUAGUUGGUAGGGUAAAGGCCUACCAAGGCGACGAUGGUUAGCUGGUCUGGGGGGAUGGGCAGCCACGCUGGAACAGAGACACGGUCCAGACUCCUACGGGAGGCAGCAGUGGGGAAUUUUGCGCAAUGGGCGAAAGCCUGACGCAGCAACGCCGCGUGAGUGAUGAAGGCUUUCGGGUCGUAAAGCUCUGUCGAGGGGAAAGAAGUGUAUUGUGGUUAAUACCCAUAAUACUUGACGGUACCCCUAAAGGAAGCACCGGCUAACUCCGUGCCAGCAGCCGCAGUAACAC